AUUAAACGCUGGCGGCAUGCCUUACACAUGCAAGUCGAACGGCAGCACGGGGGCAACCCUGGUGGCGAGUGGCGGACGGGUGAGUAAUGCAUCGGAACGUGCCCUGAAGUGGGGGGAUAACGCAGCGAAAGCUACGCUAAUACCGCAUAUUCUAAGUGAGCAGGAAAGCAGGGGAUCGCAAGACCUUGCGCUUUGGGAGCGGCCGAUGUCGGAUUAGCUAGUUGGUGGGGUAAAGGCCUACCAAGGCGACGAUCCGUAGCGGGUCUGAGAGGAUGAUCCGCCACACUGGGACUGAGACACGGUCCAGACUCCUACGGGAGGCAGCAGUGGGGAAUUUUGGACAAUGGGCGCAAGCCUGAUCAGCCAUGCCGCGUGAGUGAAGAAGGCCUCGGUUGU
rnacentral:rRNA from 1 species